rnacentral:lncRNA from 1 species
AGGGUUCAGGGUUUGGUGAAGAAGAUGAGUGAAGGGGGGUUAGGAUAGGGGGCGGGGUAGCAAGGUUAGGCCUUAUAUAUGCUUUAGAGUUUUAGAUCCUGGCCGUUGGAUCAAGGGAGAUCUAUGGCCAGGAUCUAUUCUUUAGGUAGGACGUCGUCGUUUAGGUGGGAAGGUAGUUAAAACCGGGUAGGGAAAUGGGUCGGAUUAAAUUAACGGGUCUAAAGGGCGGGCCUCGAUCCGUUGGAUCAAAGGGAUUGGACGGCUCAGAUCAAACGCCUUGAACGGCGUCGUUAUGGUUAAAUGGGCGAUCUGAUCAAGACCGUUCAUUUAAAUCAUAUCAAUGGCUCUAAUAGGGAUGCUGAUACGGCAUCGUUUGAGUCAGUGCUUGGGCAGGCCUGGCUUGGACUGGGUCUUGCAUUGGCUUUGGGCCUCAUUUGGGGCCCAAUCCGAUUUCUUCACUUCUUUUUUUUUUCUUUUCUUUUUUUCUGAUUUUAAAAUACAACUAAAUUAAACUGAAUUUAAAACACUCAUUAAUCAACACCUAAACAAUUAUCACACACAUAUUAAAAUUUUAAAAAUGGUUAAAUCAUAGCCUAGAAUAAAAGCUGCAUAUUUUUGUGAAUUUUCUUUUAAAGACCGAAUUAUGGCCCGAUUACACACGGCAUACUUAUUUUGUAUUUUUGUUGGAGAAGAUUCAAUGAAAAAUGGAUAGAAACACAAAGGACUACCAGCACAUGUCACGUAAAAAUUGAAAAUUUGUAUGGCGAGGCCAUUUGCAAUUAUUUUGAUUUCUUUUGGAGUGAUUGUUCGUGAAGCAAAAAUCACGUGCUUACACCCGUUACUCGUUUUUUGGCAUUUUAAGGUCAUAAAACUUGAAUUCCGCCCGAUUCCCAGAUUUUCGUAUGCUAUAACCCACACCUCCUACAUGGGCCGGGGCGAUCGGUCCCCGAUCGCCUAAAACUUUGCUAGCCCAUCAAAAAUGACCUAAGAAAAAAUAGCCACCGCCCACCACAACUGUUACUCGUUUUUUAGCAUUCUAGGGUCGUAAAACUGGAAUUUUGCAUGAUUCCCAAAUUUUCGUGUGCUAUAGCCUAUGCCUCCUGCACGGGCCCCAGAUAUCGGACCCGGAUCGCCUAAAAUAUUCUCGGCCCGACAAAAACAAUCUAAGAAUAAUAGUUACCGCCUCGCCAUUAGCGUUACUCGUUUUUGGGCGUUUUAGGGUCAUAAAACUGGAAUUCUGUCCGAUUCUCAAAUUUUCGUGUGCCUCCUGCGUGGGGCCGGGCAAACAAAUUAGGGUCGCCUAUAAUUUUUCCAGCCCAUCAAAACGACCGAAGGAACAAUAGUCACCGCCUCUCCAUAAUCGUUGUUCGGUUUUUUUGGUGUUUUAAAGCCAUAAAACUGGAAUUCUGCGUGAUUCCUAGAUUUUCAUGUGCUAUAGCCCACACCUUCUGCAUGUACCCAGGCACCAGGACCCGCAUUGCCUAAAAAUUUUGUCAGCCAUUAAAUAUGACCUAAGGAAUAAUAGUCACUGCCUCGCCAUUACCGUUACACAUUUUUUGACAUUUUAGGGCCAUAAAAUUGGAAUUCGCCUAAUUUUCAAAUUUUAAUGUGCCCAAGCCCAUGCCUCCUGCACAUGCACGGGUCCGGGAGCCCGAAUCUGGAUCACCUAAAAAUUUUCAGGCCCAUCAAAAAUGAUCUAAGGAACAAUGGUCACAGCCUCUCCAUGAUCAUUACUCGUUUUUUGGCGUUUUAGGGCUAUAAAACUAGAAUUUCCCCGAUUCCCAGAUUUUCGUGUGCUAUAUAGCCCACACCUCUUGCAUGGGCCCGGACGCCUGAACCUGGAUCGUCUAAAAAUUUUCUAGACCAUAAAAAAUGACUUAAGAAAAUAUAGUCACUGCCUCGCCAUGACUGUUACUCAUUUUUUGGCAUCUUAGGGCCAUAAAAUUGGAAUUCUGCUCAAUUUCUAGAUUUUCGUGUUCUAUAGCCUGCGCUUCCUGCAUGGGCCCAAACAAACGAGCCUGGAUCGCCUAAAAUUCGUCGGCCCAUAAAAAAUGACCUAAGGAGCAAUAGUCACCGCCUAGCCAUGAUCGUUACUCGUUUUUUUGGCAUUUUAGGACCAUAAAACUGGAAUUCAAACCGAUUCCCAAAUUUUCGUGUGCAAUAGCCUGCACCUCCUGCAUAGGGGCGCCCAAACCUGGAUCGCCUAAAUUGCAGGGCCAUCAAAAAUGAUCUAAUGAAUAAUAGGCACCGCCUAGGCAUGAUUGUUACUCGUUUUUUAGCGUUUAAGGGCCAAAAACUAGAAUUCGGGCCAAAAACUCCUAAUGUUGUGAAUUUCAUCUGCUUACCAGAUGGUUAUGUGACUGUACUGUGCUAAACAAUCAUACUCCACUUGUGAGAUUUUUCUGGUUUGUUGUUAUUAUUGUAUAAACAGAAAAUGUAAAUUAAAGAUCUUCUAAUGACAUGAUUAAUGUAAUCUAACCUAUUAUAGUAGUUUUAGUAUAAUAGGAUAGUUACAAUUUUUUUUCAGAUUACUAUUGAGAAUUCGUCAUAAAUAUUUACCUAUAAUUACCUUAUAAAUGACCUGAUUAUGUAAAUAUUUUUAUACCGUCAAUUUUAAGACUAACGGUCAGUUAUUAAAACUAGCUGCUCCACUUUCAAUAUCCUCCUACCAUCUAAAUUGGUAAUUUUCAUGUUUUUGGCCUUCUAGUAGAUUAUAUGAACUGUGUAAGCUUGUUCCUAAGGCAUGUAGUUAAGAAUUUUGCUCGUAAUAUCGCAAGUAGCUAGACCAUCAACACAUGAUUCGUAUGAGUACAAAAGUGUUCAUAAUAAUAUCAGAUCAUACAUCAAGCUGAUCAUCAACUCAUAUUUUUCCCCUUAAUUAUGACCACUUGGUCUUUUUAUAGAUCCACUUCAGAGGAUUACAAAUAUAGUACUAUUACUAUAUACUUGACUUUAAGUUGCUUUUUAGAGCAAUUAUUUAAGUUCUUGAUAUCAAGCAGAACAAUCCAUACAUAUUAACGUGAAAUGGACGUAGGUCGUUUCAAUUAGUAUGGACUUUCGCCUCUAUAAUUACCUGGAGGAUCAUAGUUGCAAGAGACAACAUAUCCUCCAUUGUUACACUGAACCCUAGCACAUCCAACACGAACCGAGUUACGCCAAACCACCUGAGUAUAGUGUCCACACACCUGUCCUUGUGCACAAGUAUUUGAGUCAUGGUCAUAAUACUGUUUCUCAUCGACCCACAUCUCAACGGCCUUAGCAGCCGUCAUGAAAUCGCCACUUCCCUCAGCUAGGUUUUCGCCGUAUUGACCAUGAGAAUGUACGAGGUUACAAUCUGCAGCCAAUUGGGAAGCAUAAUUUUGCGCAUAGGCUGCUACCUGGUCGUCCCAGGUCAAAGGUUCUACACCUACAUCUGCACGAGCUGUGUUAUGGGCAUCCAAAUAGUCUUGUUGAGAAUUUUGGGCACGGCAAGAGUGGGAUAUUACUAGGAAUAAGAGAAGUGUAGAGACAAGAAGAAAUGAAGGCAAUUGUGAAAAGAGAACAAAUCCCAUGACUAUAGGAGAAAUGUUGUAUCUUGAAUGGAAAAACUAGAUUUACUACCAAGGGUAUUUAUAGGAGAAAUCUUGAAGAUUUCACGGUGAUUAUUCAUGUACUUACUAAAUUUUUUGACAUGGUAAUAUCAAUGUAAUAUAUCCUGUUAUAGAUAAUUUAUCCUAUUUUCUAGGUUACCAUAUUAAACUUAUAUAUGCAGUUACCAAUUGUUGUAAAAUAGUUUUACCCGAUGUUGCAAAAUAAUUUUAAAUUGUCAAUGCAUGAAGUUAAACACUUUUUUGAUCUAUCAGAUGUGCUUUUUGUUAAAUAAAGUAGACUGGUUAUGGUUAAUGUGUUAAUUAAUAUUUUCUACAUUUAACGAUCUGAUUAAUUUUUACUUCCAUAUUUAUAUCUCUUUUUUUUCAGAAUGGGAAUGUCCAUUGGAAAAAGAAUUUAAAAUAAAUACUUUGAUGUUUGAUUUUUCUAAUAAUCUUAUUUCUAAAUCUUAUAUUAUAUUUCUUAUAUGUACAAUCAAUUCUCUAAAAGAAAAAACUAUAAUAAUACCAAACACAGUUUGUGUCUUCUUCUUUCUUUUCUCAAUAUUUGUGGAAAACUUGAACAUGGCCGUCAUCUCGAUGACGUUAAAUAACUAUCAAAUUUGGACGUAAAGAAUAUUUGGAUAUUCUUCAGUUCUUUCUCUAAUUUCCUUCCCUUAAUUUCCAACUUGAUGUUACUCAUGUACUAUCAUACUUUUCUAUUAUCUCAUUCCAAUCACGGCUUGAUCUGGAGUAUAAAUAAAUUUCUAUUUUCUUAUCCCAAUCACGACUUGACUUUAGAUUCAAAUGGAGUAUUUUUUUAUUUUUUGUAAAUAGCUUAUGUUUAUUUCGUUUUUCGACAUUAGUGGAAAAGAAAGCUCAAGUUUUAGUGAAGCUAGAGUUUGAAAUCCUCGAGGGUGUUUUAAGAUUUAACUACUUUAUUUUUCCAAGAAAUAGCACCCUAAAGCAUCUCGCUGUAAUGGCGUUCACUUAUUUUCCCUUUAAUUUAAAUGGAUAAAUGACAACCAAACUCCUUAAAAAGACUUCGGCCAAUGCUUUAGGUGGUGAAGUAUAGACCCAAUACUUACAAGAGAGACCAGUGUUUUUGUUAUGCAAAAAGAGUAAUUGAAGAAUUUUGUAACUAUUGCCAUUUAGCAAUUUGNNNNNNNNNNCNNUCACUUUUGUUUGACAUGUAUACUAAAAAUAGAUUUUCAUUUUUACUUUUCACUUUAUGCAUGUUAAGAGAAGACAAUUUUUUUUUCCUGUUAUACCCACAGUAUUUAUUACUCAUUUCAAAUCAUUUUCUCAAAUCCAAUAAAAUAUGCAUCAAUUAAUAUGGGUAUCAUGGUAAAUUAUGCAUUUCAAUCAUUUUUUCUUAAAGGGUUUGAAAAAUCAAAACGUGUCAAGUAAAAGUAAACAGAGUACAUAUUAUUGUAAAUUAACUUAUCGUGAUGAUUAAAAAAAUUAUAGUCUAUUAGAUGCAAAAAAAAAAAAAAUGAAAACUUAGACCCUACACUAUGAUAAUUGACAUCCUCGUAUAUCUUAGUCCUUAAAAACGUUUAUGUGCUACGAUCCCUAGGUAAAGGUUUGCGCCAUCAGGGUCGCAAAUUGUGCCUCACGACUUGACUAUAAGAUCAAAAUUAAGGUAUCUUAAUUAAUUUAUUCUAUUGAUAAUAGAGCUUAAAAUUCAAAUGUUCUUGAGGUUUUACUUUUCUUAUUGCAAUACAUUCCUCAUUAACUUUAUAGAACAAAAAAAAUGAUACAGUGAGAAAUCAUAGUUGCAAAUCUGAUUGUCAAGAUUUAUCAGAUUUGGGUUCAAAGAAAGUAGAAUAACUUUAUCUUUCAGCAAAUUUGUAUGGACUUAUUUGAGUUAUGCAUUGCUUGGUUCAUCUCUUAUGAUGUAUUGAAGGUUCUCUACGUAGCAUGUCAUGAGUGAAGAAUCAAAAUAGAAUUGCAAGCUCAAUAUUAAAAAGAAUAACUGAAAGUAGAAUUGAAAUUUUUGUGGAAGAAAAUAAUUGGAUAGUUUAUUCAAUUCACGAAUGGCCUUAUAUAGGCAUACAAAUUAGCUUGAAUAUGUUAUCCCACUAAACAAACUCUCCUAAACUUUAGGAAAAAUAUCUGCAACUAACAAUAACAAAAUAACAACUUGAAGCUAAAAACUAGCUAUACUACUGACUUAGUCAACACUACAAGUUGUACAUGGCACAAGUGCAGGAUUAAAGUUGCAGGCACCAUCAGCGUCGUACAUUGUGCUACAGCCUACAAGAGUUGACUCCAACACAAAGAAUGAGAAAAGAAUCAAUACAAACGGAAAGGUAAACAUCUUUACUGGGAUUGUGAAUGCUUUUAUUUGUUUUGAUUCCUUUUAGGCAAUUCGGAUCAGGUUAACCCGGAUUCAUGUAGAUGACGUGAAUUAUAGCACACGAAAAUUUGUAAAUCGACCCGAAUUUCAGUUUUUUAUCCCUAAAAUGCCAAAAGAAGAGGAACGGUCAUGCUGAAGCCAUGAUUAUUGUUCAUUAGGUUAUUUUUUAUGGCCCCGCAAACUGAAAAUUCUGGAUAUCGGGUAGAAUUCCAGCUUUACGGUCGUAAAACACAAAACACGAGGAACGGUCAUGGCAAGGAAAUGACUAAUAUUCCUUAGAUCAUUUUUUAUGGGACGGUAAAAUGGCGACUCGGGUCUGGUCGCUCGAACUAUGCAGAUGGCAUGGGCUAUAGCACACAAAAAUUUAGAAAUCAAGUAGAAUUCCAGUUUUGUGGGCCUAAAAUGCCAAAUAAUGAGUAAACGAUGACUAGUAUUUCUUAGGUCAUUUUUUAUUGGUCGGAAAUUUUUUAGGUGAUUCGGGUCCAGUCGUCCAGACCCAUGUAGAUGACGUAAGCUAUAACACACGAAAAUCUAGGAAUUAUACGGAAUUAAAAAAUUUAUGGCCCUAAAAUACCCAAAAAUGAGGAAUGGUCAUGGCGAGGCGAAGACUAAUGUUCCUUAAGUCGUUCUUGAUGGGCCAAAAACUUUUUAGGCGAUUCAGGUCUAAUCGCUCAGACCCAUGCAAAUGGCGCGAGUUAUAUAGCACAGAAAAUUUGGAAUUGGUCGAAUUCCAAUUUGUUGGCCUUAAAAUGCCAAAAAAUGAAGAACGGUCAUGCUUAAGUCAUGACUAUUGUUCAUUAGGUAAUUUUUAUGGCCCUGCAAAAUUUUAGUUUAUUCGAAUUCGGUAGUCUGAAUUCAUGCAUAUGGCUAUAGCACACGAAAAUUUGAAAAACGACCUGAAUUCUAAUUUUUUGGCCCUAAAAUGAAAAAAAAAGGAACAUUGUUCAUUCAGUCAUUUUUUAUGGUCCCGCAAAAUCUUAGGCGAUUCCAAUCCAGUAGCCCAGAUUCAUGCAGAUGCGUGGACUAUAACACAUGAAAAAUUAGAAAUCUGCCGGAAUUUCAAUAUUUUGGCACUAAAAUGCCUAAAAAUAAGGAACGGUUACGCCGAAGCCGUGACUAUUAUUCAUUAGGUCACUUUUAUGGUCCAGUAAAAUUUUAGGAGAUUCAGAUCGGGUAGCCCUGAUUCAUGUAGAUGGCGUGGAUUAUAGCAUACGAAAAUUUGGAAAUCUGCCCGAAUUCUAAUUUUUUGGCCUUAAAAUACCAAAAAUCGAGGAAUGGUAAUGCCAAAAUCAUGAUUAUUGUUGAUAAGUUCAUUUUUUAUGACCCCGUAAAAUCUUAGGCGAUUCGGAUCCGGUAGCCUGGAUUCAUGCAAAUGGUGUAGACGAUAACACAUGAAAAUUUGAAAAUCGACCCCAAUUAUAGUUUUUUGGCCCUAAAAUGCAAAAGCCUAGGAACGUCCAUGUUGAAGCAAUGACUAUUAUUCGUUAGGUAAUUUCUUAUGAUCGUGUAAAAUUUUAGUCAAUUCGGAUCCAGUAUCCCGGAUUCAUGCAGAUGGCCUGGACUAUAAAGGAAAUUUGGAAAUUGGCCUAAUUCCAGUUUUUUGGCCCUAAAAUGCAAAAAAUAAGGAAAUGUCAUGCCGAAAACCAUGAAAAUGAUUCAUUAGGUUAUUUUUGUGGUCCCUCCAAAUUUUAGGAUAUUCAAAUCUGGUAACCCGAAUUCAUGCACAUAGAACGGAUUAUAACACACGAAAAUUUAAAAAUCGACCUGAAUUCUAUCUUUUUAGACCUUAAAUGCCAAAAAAGAGGAACAGUCAUGCCGAAGCCAUGACUAUUGUACAUCAUUUUUUAUGGACCCCGCAAAAUUUUAGGCGAUUUAGAUCCGGUAGGCCAGAUUAUUGUAGAUGGCGUGGACUAUAGCAUGCAAAAAAUUAGAAAUCGGCCCGAAUUCUAGUUUUUUGCCCUAAAUUGCCAAAAAAACAGGGAACGAUAUGUCGAAGCCAUGACUAUUAUUCAUUAAGGCAUUUUUUAUAGCCCCAUAAAAUUCGAUAUCCACACCUAAAAUAGCUAUCACUUCGCCAUGAUUGUUCAUUGUUUUUUGAAUUUUAAGACCAUAAAACAGGAAUUCAGGAUAACUUCUAGAUUUUCGUGUGUUAUAGUCCGUGCAUCUACAUGACUCGGGUGUCCGGUCCCGAAUUUACUAAACUUUUGCAGUCCAAUAAAAAAUGACCUAAUGAAUAAUAGUCAUCGUUUCGCCAUGAUCGUUUCUCAUUUUUGCUGUUUUAGGGCCACAAACAGAAAUUCAUGACGAUUCCCAGAUUUGCGUGUGCUCUAGUCCACGCUAUCUGUAUAAAUUCUGGUGACUAUUUUAGAAUCUCCUAAAAUUUUGUAGGCCCAUCAAAACUGACAUAAUGAACAAUAGCCACCGCUUUCUCGUGAUUAUUCCUCAUUUUUUUGGCGUUUUAGAGCCAUAAAAUAGGAAUUCAGGACGAUUCCCAGAUUUUAGUGUGCUAUAGUCCACGCUAUUUGCAUGAAUUCAUGCGACCGACUUCGAAACUCCUAAAAAUUUUGGGUUCCAUAAAAAUUGACCGGAUGAUCAAUAGUCAUCGCUUCGCCAUUACCCACCGUCUUUAUUUGGCAUUUUAAGGCUAUAAAAUAGAAAUUCAAGACGAUUCUCAAAUUUUCGUGUACUAUAAGUCUACACCAUAUGCAUGAAUUCGGGCGACCGAACCAGAAUCUCCUAAAAUUUUGUGGAACUAUAAAAACGACCUAAUUAGUAAUAAUCAUCGUUUCACCAUGAUUGUGCCUCAUUUUUUGGCUUUUUGGACCAUAAAACAGGAAUUCAAGAU